rnacentral:rRNA from 1 species
CAGAGGUCUCAAGCGUUGUUCGGAUUCAUUGGGCGUAAAGGGUGUGUAGGUGGCGCCGUAAGUCGGGUGUGAAAUUUCGGAGCUUAACUCCGAAACUGCAUUCGAUACUGCGGUGCUUGAGGACUGGAGAGGAGACCGGAAUUCAUGGUGUAGCAGUGAAAUGCGUAGAGAUCAUGAGGAAGACCAGCGGCGAAGGCGGGUCUCUGGACAGUUCCUGACACUGAGACACGAAGGCCAGGGGAGCAAACGGGAUUAGAUACCCCGGUAGUCCUGGCAGUAAACGGUGCACGUUUGGUGUGGGAGGAUUCGACCCCUUCUGCGCCGGAGCUAACGCGUUAAACGUGCCGCCUGGGGAGUACGGUCGCAAGAUUA